AUUGAACGCUGGCGGCAUGCUUUACACAUGCAAGUCGAGCGGCAGCGCGGGACUCAGGCAACUGAGCCCUGGCGGCGAGCGGCGAACGGGUGAGUAAUGCAUCGGAACGUGUCCCGUAGUGGGGGAUAACGCCGCGAAAGCGGCGCUAAUACCGCAUAUGCUCUACGGAGGAAAGUGGGGGACCUGCAAGGGCCUCACGCUAUGGGAGCGGCCGAUGCCGAUUAGCUAGUUGGUGGGGUAAUGGCCUACCAAGGCGACGAUCGGUAGCUGGUCUGAGAGGAUGAUCAGCCACACUGGGACUGAGACACGGCCCAGACUCCUACGGGAGGCAGCAGUGGGAAUUUUGGACAAUGGGGCAACCCCUGAUCCAGCCAUGCCGCGUGCGGGAAGAAGGCCUCGGUUGUAACG
rnacentral:rRNA from 1 species